rnacentral:miRNA from 1 species
UCAGCUUCCUUGUAGAACGGA